UGACCUCAAAUCAGGUU
rnacentral:rRNA from 1 species